CCUACGGGGGGCUGCAGUGAGGAAUAUUGGUCAAUGGACGAGAGUCUGAACCAGCCAAAUCGCGUGAAGGAAGACUGCCCUACGGGUUGUAAACUUCUUUUGUACAGGAAUAAAAGACAUUACGUGUAAUGUAUUGCAUGUACUGUACGAAUAAGCAUCGGCUAACUCCGUGCCAGCAGCCGCGGUAAUACGGAGGAUGCGAGCGUUAUCCGGCUUUAUUGGGUUUAAAGGGUGCGCAGGCGGGAUUUUAAGUCAGCGGUGAAAUUUUCAGGCUC
rnacentral:rRNA from 1 species